CUUUUCCUUCGCUUUUUUUUUUCUGAUUGAAUUGUGCUGCUCAGAACUCAAUUACGGAAGGAGGAUCUCGUGUAAGCAGCACUGAACUGGAGCUAAAGUUUGGUGAAACCCUAAUCCACAUUGGGACUGUUAUUGUGAGCAGAUGAGAAGCGUUCCCGAACACAGAACCAGCAAAAACAAACCCAGACCGCCAGCAACAGAAACCAGAGAGGAAAGCGCGCAGCACAUAUUUACAUAUUCAUCUAAACGUCAUUCUCAGCAGUGUGGGCAGUGUCAGAUGUUCAAUAACAGUAUAUCGCUGCUCACGUAUUUCGAACUUUGUUUUACCCCCAAACGAAGAAUGGAAAAGAACUUCGCCUUAAGUAUAUCGGAGCCUUUAGAUGAUGAUUUAUUUAGUUUCAUUUGAAGUUACCACCAUGGUGAUCAGUGUUUGUUUUAGUUGGGCUCUUGGCCCGUGACUUUAUGACAUCCAUUUUUCUCAUUUUUCGCUGUAACUAUAUGUUUAUAUGAUCAGGUGUCAGUGUUAUGUAUUGGUAAUGAAAGUUGUCAUUUAGUGACUUGGUUUACUGAUCUUUUUCAGAGCUUAAUCUCUGAUUAAACAGGUGAUGUAUUAUUAGUUUAGAAUUCAUUAUAGCAGGUCUGUGAUUCUACAGUGUAAAAUCCUUUGUUGUGACAAUCAGAUUUUAAAAAUCUCUAUGGUCUCAAGCUGACUCACACAGAUAUAAAGAAACAGCAUAUGAACCUCAACAAUGGUGAAAAAUAACAAAAUAUUCAGAUAAACCUCUGAACAUCACAAAACAAGUUACUAAAGUCACAACAAAAAUGACAAACAUAAAAGCAAAUAGUAAGAAUAAGAGAAAAUAGAAAAUCCAGCUGUAUUAUUUAUUCAUGCCACAAUGCAUGCUGUGAGCCAUUGUUGUUGUUUUUUUACUGUGCUAGUACCCAGCAUGCAUUGCAGCAUUAAUUUUUUUUUUAAUGGUCACCAUUGUUGACAUUCAUAUGCUGAUUCUUGAUGUCUGUGGCAUAGAUAAAAACAUUUUGUGCGCAAACUGUUUGUAAACACUAAAUGAUCAUCAUCCACUAAAUCAUACUUAACCAGCACCUGAUCAUAUUUUCUCUUGGCUUUUGUGCCAUAACAAAUGUGUUUUAUAAACACUUAAUUACAGCAGCCAAAGAAAAAGGAAUGUCAAGAGCUCAACUAAAGCAAACACUGAUCUCCGUCAUGGUGACCUUAAACAAAACUCAAUAAAAAAUCAACAUUUAAACCUCUGUUAGCUCUCAAUAAGAUCUUCUGUAGACGUGUGACAGAAAUAAAGUCAGUCUGGUUAGUAAUAAGUGAAGCUGGUAAUGCUGUUUGUGGAGUUGUUUAAUACUCCUCUGCUGAGAUCUUGAGAGAUUAUCUCCCGGUUUCACAGACAAGGCUUAAGCUAGUCCUAGACUAAAAUGCAUGUUUGAGCUGUUUUAGCUGAAAGUAACUUGUACUGACAGAUCUUAAAAUAUGUCAGAGCCAGUGUUUUGUCUUGAGAUGCACACCAGUAAUGUUUUAUUUUUCUAGUGUAUGUUUAUAAAAGCUACUUAAAUGCCCUAACUGAACUAAGGCCUAAUCCUAGCUUAGGCUAAGCCCUGUCUGUGAAACCAGGCGUAAAUGUUUAUCUUCAGUUGAUUUGAGUGAAAUGAACUCAUUAUUACUUAUAACUGUUAGGUUUUACAGUCUAAAACAUCACACUGCUGAUUCUGAUUAUACUGUGAAAUGAACAAUAACAAUCUUCAAACUGAUAUAAAUUACUUUGAUUAUUGUACCAUUAAGAACACUGUAAUAUUGAAAGUAAUAACAGUAUUGUAAUACUGUUGUUAUAUUGUGUAACUGAAGUGAAACUGCAAUGGUAAACCUCGACUCUUCAGAAGAAAACACUUCUCUUUACGGUUGAUGUCAAACUGAAUUAACCACAUGAAAGCUGAUAUGUGCAUCUUUUUAUGUUUAUACAGGAGAUAAAAUGUGUCUCCACAAA